AACGAACGCUGGCGGCAUGCCUAACACAUGCAAGUCGAACGAGACCUUCGGGUCUAGUGGCGCACGGGUGCGUAACGCGUGGGAAUCUGCCCUUUGCUUCGGAAUAACACAGAGAAAUUUGUGCUAAUACCGGAUAAUGUCGCAAGACCAAAGAUUUAUCGGCAAAGGAUGAGCCCGCGUAAGAUUAGCUAGUUGGUGGGGUAAUGGCCUACCAAGGCGACGAUCUUUAGCUGGUCUGAGAGGAUGAUCAGCCACACUGGGACUGAGACACGGCCCAGACUCCUACGGGAGGCAGCAGUGGGGAAUAUUGGACAAUGGGCGAAAGCUUGAUCCAGCAAUGCCGCGUGAGUGAUGAAGGCCCUAGGGUUGUAAAGCUCUUUUACCAGGGAUGAUAAUGACAGUACCUGGAGAAUAAGCUCCGGCUAACUCCGUGCCAGCAGCCGCAGUAAGAC
rnacentral:rRNA from 1 species